CAAGAGUUUAAUUUUUGACACAUCAUCCCUAUCAAGCCCAUCUCUUAAAGCUAAGAUCGACGACGAAAAUCACUCGACUCUUCGUUUUCCUUAUAGUUUCACUCUUGAUUAUUCUCAAUGGUGUUCUUUACUCAUUUCUUUAUGUCUCCUUCAACCUCCCAUCGUUUCUCCUUCUAUUUAAACACCUUCAUAGAAUUUUACAUUCAACCAAAAUAUGUCUCUUCGCAUCUGCAAAGACCAGCUGUUCGUAUUUCUUAUUGUUUUGAUGAUUUUAAUCCGUGGGGCUGUUUAAUCCAUAUCGGUGUGUUUUCUCAGAUCCCGACAUCGGGUCUGACUCGCUGGCAGCUCGAAUCAUGGUGUGAUCUGUGGUAACAACUAAUGGAAAGACAGAGAAGAUAGCUACAUGUUUGUUUGAUCCUUUUCUUGCACACUUGAAGACAUCAGAAGAUCAACUUUCUAAAGGUUUGUCUGAAUUCUGAGCAAUCCGGGUGUCCUAGAACGUGUUUACAGUUUAAAAACUGAGAGAUCAUGCAGAUUAAGGAAGCAAUUGGCAUCCAAACAACUUUGAAGAGGCAUUAACUGUUGUGAAAAAAAAGACUAUCUAAGAGCAGAAAGUACGAAAGGCAUUGCUACAGCUCAAAGAGGAGAAAGCCAUUGUCAUUUAUGAGCCUGAUUCACACACGUAGCAAUCAAAUUGUUCUACCGCAUCUCAUGAAUAGUAUACCCAUUUGCUUGAUAGAUAUUGCUUUCAUGUUUGUUUAAGAAAAAGAGUAGUUAAGUAUCUGAUUGGUAAUGGAAUUGUUUAUCAGGGUUCAAGUCAUGAUAGUUUUGGAGACAAGGACUAUGGUGUUGCAGAAAGAACAAGAACAAAGAUAGACGAAUCUUGAUACUUUCAGAGUGAAAUGGAGCGAGAAGAUGAUAUAAGAAAUCAGGAUAAGAUUUAUGGAACAAGGAAGAAGAUGAUCAAUAGACCGGAGCAAAUACAGUGUUCAAGAAAUUGAGAGAAAAAGAUUAGAAGAUCAGGAACAGUCUUACCAAACAUGGUCAUAGUCAUUACCACGAUCGUGAUCAUGAAGAAGAAUAUGACGAGCAAGAACCAAAAUGGCACAGUGAGCCAGUGUAUACACAGGCGGUAUAGCAGGUCAACCUGAGACACCUUGUCCUCCCGGAGAAAUUAAUUUUUUGCAAUGGACAAAAGUUUUUCAGUUUGUAUCUUCGGAUUAUACCAAACCCAUUGAACUGGAGCCAUUACGAGAUCUCUUUCAUGGACACGAGAUGAUGGAUACUUCAGAUUUGAUGAUACGCUACCUUUCAUUGUUCCGUAACCAUGAAGCUCAUAUCCAGGUGUUCGAGUUUGAAAGAAUCUUGAGUAGCCCUAGCUAUCAUGUUCUGCUUCAUCAAUGUCGUAGGGAUGCCUGCUUAAAAUUCAUGUAUAUGUGGAAGAAAAGCAUGAAUCUGGUCAGUUAAUACAGAUCUGUUGUAUUGUCAUUUGUACAGCAAGAGGGUGAAGUUUCAACCCAGAUAAAGGGAAAUAGCUGAUGAUGUUCCAAAGGUAGAGAAUCUAAAGACUGCAGAAAAGAUGGAGAGCUAAGAAAAACAAAAGAGUGAUGUCAGGUUUGAAAUACAAAAGAACCUAAUCGUAAUAUGAAUUAGACUUGAUAGACAAAUCCAAAUGGUGCUUUAUCCACCCAGCUACCCAUAUCUACAUUUUUAUUAUUUAGUUUUCUUGGCUAAAACUUUACAUAUGAUCUCCCUAAUUUGCUUUUAUAUGUUGUUCUUUGUUUGAGGGUUUUCUUCUUGAUUGUUCACUCAAUAAAACCUAUUAAAAACUUCUAUA